GUAGGUGGCAAGCGUUGUCCGGGAAUUAUUGGGGCGUAAAGCGCGCGCAGGCGGUUCUUUAAGUCUGAUGUGAAAGCCCACGGGCUCAACCGUGGAGGGUCAUUGGAAACUGGAGAACUUGAGUACAGAGGAGGAAAGCGGAAUUCCACGUGUAGCGGUGAAAUGCGUAGAGAUGUGGAGGAACACCAGUGGCGAAGGCGGCUUUCUGGUCUGUAACUGACGCUGAGGCGCGAAAGCGUGGGGAGCAAACAGGAUUAGAUACCCUGGUAGUCCACGCCGUAAACGAUGAGUGCUAAGUGUUAGGGGGUUUCCGCCCCUUAGUGCUGCAGCUAACGCAUUAAGCACUCCGCCUGGGGAGUACGGCCGCAAAGGCUGA
rnacentral:rRNA from 1 species